UACGUAGGUGGCAAGCGUUGUCCGGAUUUACUGGGCGUAAAGAGCGCGCAGGCGGUCGUUCAAGUCGCGUGUGAAAGCCCCCGGCUCAACUGGGGAGGGUCACGCGAUACUGAUCGACUCGAAGGCAGGAGAGGGUAGUGGAAUUCCCGGUGUAGUGGUGAAAUGCGUAGAUAUCAGGAGGAACACCUGUGGUGUAGACAGCUUACUGGACCACGACUGACGCUGAGACACGAAAGCGUGGGUAGCAAACAGG
rnacentral:rRNA from 1 species